UACGUAGGGUGCGAGCGUUAAUCGGAAUUACUGGGCGUAAAGCGUGCGCAGGCGGUUUUGUAAGCCAGAUGUGAAAUCCCCGGGCUUAACCUGGGAAUGGCAUUUGGGACUGCAAGGCUGGAGUGCGGCAGAGGAGACUGGAAUUCCUGGUGUAGCAGUGAAAUGCGUAGAUAUCAGGAGGAACACCGAUGGCGAAGGCGGCCCCCUGGACCGGUACUGACGCUGAGGCGCGAAAGCGUGGGUAGCAAACGGG
rnacentral:rRNA from 1 species